ensembl:lncRNA
CGGAGCUCGGACUAUCGUUUCCAGCCAGAUUAGAGGCUGAUGUUGCUGCCUUCUCUGUGAAGGAGGAAAAUCAUCUGUCCAGCUUCUGGUUUGAACUUCAGGAUGAUUCGUGCGAGGAUUUUAUGGACUCUCGUUCAGACGCAGAUUAGAUGAUUCUACAGGGCAGAACCAGACAUGGACUUCCAUCUGCAAGAAAAAUCUCACCUCCACUACAGGGUCAACGGGAGCAGCUCCAGACCAGGCCAACCCCAUAAUGCCGUUUCAACUGCAGCCUGAAGGUCAUCACCUUGACAGAGAACAAAUAAGGGGCAAAAGUCCUGCUGUCCACUUUUCAGAGCAGUGAUACUCAUGUGUAAGUACUGGGUCAUGAAUCCCAGUUCAGUCAUUAAGACGUCUGGAUUCAGAUUUUUUUUGUGUGUGAGUUUUAUUUGCGAAGUCCAGCGAAAGUCACAGGUGACAUCCGCAAAAAUCACUUUUAUUGAAGAACUUUGAAAGAAAAUAGAGUUUAGAGUUUUUCAUAGAGUUUGCCCCGACCAGCUGUAAUUUCAAAUGAUAACGAACCACUUUGUUUACAUAACGAGGCUUUUUUUUCUUCGUGGCCACCUCUAUUUAUUUUUAGGUUCAUUACACAUUGUGUCAGGGGAUCCCCUAAAGCCAUGUGGUUUGGUUUAAAUAGGCGGCCUCGAUCCUAUCAGGACCGCAAAAAGACCUCAGCAAAAUCAGCGGCCACUGAGUGUUGUCACUGGAUACCCUGCUGUGGUGGUUCUGAGUAUGUGGAGGUGAAGAGGAAGAGGUGAGGGAGCCGUCCAGCAGGAGAGAGGGAGGGAGAAGGAGAGAGAGAGAGGGAGGGCCAACUGAGCCAGAAACAGGGUGGGA